UACGAAGGGGGCUAGCGUUGUUCGGAAUUACUGGGCGUAAAGCGCGCGCAGGCGGUCUUCCAAGUCAGUGGUGAAAGCCCGGAGCUCAACUCCGGAACUGCCAUUGAAACUGUUGGACUUGAGUAUGAGAGAGGUGAGUGGAAUUCCCAGUGUAGAGGUGAAAUUCGUAGAUAUUGGGAAGAACACCGGUGGCGAAGGCGGCUCACUGGCUCAUUACUGACGCUCAGGCGCGACAGCGUGGGGGAUCA
rnacentral:rRNA from 1 species